ensembl:scaRNA predicted gene, 22009
UGGAAAUGAUGAAAUAGAGAUACAUGGGUGUUGAAUGUUGCAUGACUGAAAAUUUGUAAUAUGUAAUUUUCCUGGUUUAAAGUUUUAUUGAUACUUAGUAGUGUAUAGUGUGAGUGUGUGUGUACUUGUGUGUGUGCAUGUGGUGGCUAUGGAAAGGGGGCACUGAAUGGUGAUGCUGAUAUUGGAGUGCAUCUGAGGCUGUUGUAAAAAUAACUUGGGUUGUUGAUUACAACAUUGCCGAUGAUUAUAACCCAAGAACAGCUCACCUUACUAGCCCAGCACCCUAAAAUCUCUAACAGGCUCAUUAAAUGUGUCCUGUGAUCUGAUCCAA